AGGAAAAGAAACUAACAAGGAUUCCCCUAGUAACUGCGAGUGAAGCGGGAAAAGCUCAAAUUUAAAAUCUGGCGGUCUCUGGCCGUCCGAGUUGUAAUCUAGAGAAGUAAUGCCCGUGCUGGACCGUGUAUAAGUCUCCUGGGAUGGGGCGUCAUAGAGGGUGAGAAUCCCGUCUUUGACACGGACUACCAGUACAUUGUGGUAUGCUCUCAAAGAGUCGAGUUGUUUGGGAAUGCAGCCCAAAAUGGGUGGUAAAUUCCAUCUAAAGCUAAAUAUUGGCGAGAGACCGAUAGCGAACAAGUACCGUGAGGGAAAGAUGAAAAGAACUUUGGAAAGAGAGUUAAACAGUACGUGAAAUUCUGAAAGGGAAACGCUUGAAGUCAGUCGCGUUGGCCGGGGAUCAGCCUUGCUUUUGCAUGGUGUACUUUCUGGUUGACGGGUCAGCAUCAAUUUUGACCGCUGGAAAAAGACCUGGGGAAUGUGGCAGCUUCGGCUGUGUUAUAGCCCCUAGUCGCAUACAGUGGUUGGGAUUGAGGAACUCAGCACGCCGCAAGCCCGGGUUUCGACCACGUUCGUGCUUAGGAUGCUGGCAUAAUGGCUUUAAGCGACCCCUCUUGAAACACGGACCAAGGAGUCUAACAUGCCUCCGAGUAUUUGGGUGGAAAACCCAAGUGCGUAAUGAAAGUGAAAGUUGAGAUCCCUCUCGUGGGGAGCAUCGACGCCCGGACCAGAACUUUUGGGACGGAUCCCCGGUGGAGCAUGUAUGUUGGGACCCGAAAGAUGGUGAACUAUGCCUGAAUAGGGUGAAGCCAGAGGAAACUCUGGUGGAGGCUCGUAGCGAUUCUGACGUGCAAAUCGAUCGUCAAAUUUGGGUAUAGGGGCGAAAGACUAAUCGAACCAUCUAGUAGCUGGUUCCUGCCGAAGUUUCCCUCAGGA
rnacentral:rRNA from 1 species